UACGUAGGGGGCAAGCGUUGUCCGGAUUUAUUGGGCGUAAAGAGCGUGUAGGCGGCCAAGUAGGUCCGGUGUGAAAACUCGAGGCUUAACCUCGAGAUGUCAUCGGAAACCAUUUGGCUAGAGUCCGGAAGAGGAAAGUGGAAUUCCUGGUGUAGCGGUGAAACGCGUAGAUAUCUGGAGGAACACCGGUGGCGAAGGCGGCGUCCUGGACCAACACUGACACUGAGGAGCGAAAGCCAGGGGAGCAAACGGG
rnacentral:rRNA from 1 species